UACAGAGGGUGCGAGCGUUGUCCGGAAUCACUGGGCGUAAAGGGCGCGUAGGUGGCGACCCAAGUCAACGGUGAAAGCUCGGCGCUCAACGCCGAGUCGGCCUCGAUACUGGGAUGCUUGAGCACUGUAGAGGCAGAUGGAAUUCCGGUGUAGCGGUGGAAUGCGUAGAGAUCCGGAAGAACACCGGUGGCGAAGGCGGUCUGCUGGGCAGUAGCUGACACUGAGGCGCGACAGCGUGGGGAGCAAACAGG
rnacentral:rRNA from 1 species